AUUGAACGCUGGCGGCAUGCCUUACACAUGCAAGUCGAACGGCAGCACGGGAGCAAUCCUGGUGGCGAGUGGCGAACGGGUGAGUAAAGCAUCGGAACGUGCCCUGGAAUGGGGGAUAACGUAGCGAAAGUUACGCUAAUACCGCAUAUUCUGUGAGCAGGAAAGCAGGGGAUCUUCGGACCUUGCGUUUCAGGAGCGGCCGAUGUCGGAUUAGCUAGUUGGUGGGGUAAAGGCCUACCAAGGCGACGAUCCGUAGCGGGUCUGAGAGGAUGAUCCGCCACACUGGAACUGAGACACGGUCCAGACUCCUACGGGAGGCAGCAGUGGGGAAUAUUGGGCAAUGGGCGCAAGCCUGACCCAGCCAACGCCGCGUGAGGGAAGAAGGCUUUCGGGUUGUAAACCUCUGUCCUUGGUGACGAAAAAAUGACGGUAGCCAAGGAGGAAGCCCCGGCUAACUACGUG
rnacentral:rRNA from 1 species